rnacentral:misc_RNA from 1 species
GAAAUGCGAUAAGUAGUGUGAAUUGCAGAAUUCAGUGAAUCAUCGAAUCUUUGAACGCACAUUGCGCCCCUUGGUAUUCCAUGGGGCAUGCCUGUUCGAGAGUCAUUUGUACCCUCAAGCUCUGCUUGGUGUUGGGUGUUUGUCCCGUCUCCGCGCGUGGACUCGCCCCAAAGUGAUUGGCAGCCGGCGUACUGGUCCCGGAGCGCAGCACAUGUCGCGCAAACGAGUGCCUUGGUACGGCGGCGUCCAUAAGCCCCUCUCUCACGCUCUUGACCUCGGAUCAGGUAGGAAUACCCGCUGAACUUAAGC